rnacentral:rRNA from 1 species
GACGAACCGUGCGAACGUUGUUCGGAAUCACUGGGCUUAAAGGGCGCGUAGGCGGGCUAUCAAGUCCGGGGUGAAAUCCUCCAGCUUAACUGGAGAACGGCCUCGGAUACUGAUGGCCUCGAGGGGGAUAGGGGCACACGGAACUGUGGGUGGAGCGGUGAAAUGCGUUGAUAUCCAUAGGAACUCCGGUGGCGAAAGCGGUGUGCUGGAUCCCUUCUGACGCUGAGGCGCGAAAGCCAGGGGAGCAAACGGGG